rnacentral:rRNA from 1 species
GACGAACGCUGGCGGCGUGCUUAACACAUGCAAGUCGAACGGUGAAGGGAUCAGCUUGCUGGUUCUGGAUGAGUGGCGAACGGGUGAGUAACACGUGAGUAACCUGCCCCCUUCUUCUGGAUAACCGCAUGAAAGUGUGGCUAAUACGGGAUAUUCUGGGUCUGUCGCAUGGCGGGCCUGGGAAAGAUAUUGUUUCGGUGGGGGAUGGGCUCGCGGCCUAUCAGCUUGUUGGUGGGGUGAUGGCCUACCAAGGCGGUGACGGGUAGCCGGCCUGAGAGGGUGGACGGUCACACUGGGACUGAGACACGGCCCAGACUCCUACGGGAGGCAGCAGUGGGGAAUAUUGCACAAUGGGCGCAAGCCUGAUGCAGCGACGCCGCGUGAGGGAUGGAGGCCUUCGGGUUGUAAACCCCUUUCGCCAGUGAAGCAGGCCUGUCCCUUUUGUGGGUGGGUUGACGGUAGCUGGAUAAGAAGCGCCGGCUAACUACGUGCCAGCAGCCGCGGUAAUACGUAGGGCGCGAGCGUUGUCCGGAAUUAUUGGGCGUAAAGAGCUCGUAGGCGGCUGGUCGCGUCUGUCGUGAAAUCCUCUGGCUUAACUGGGGGCUUGCGGUGGGUACGGGCCGGCUUGAGUGCGGUAGGGGAGACUGGAACUCCUGGUGUAGCGGUGGAAUGCGCAGAUAUCAGGAAGAACACCGGUGGCGAAGGCGGGUCUCUGGGCCGUUACUGACGCUGAGGAGCGAAAGCGUGGGGAGCGAACAAG